UUUCGAUAACGUAAAAGUUAAAUCAAAUUUGUAUGGAGUUGGAACAUUCGCCUGCGUUUGCCGCUAGGGGCGAUUUUCCAACUGCAUAUAAAAUUGGACUAACUUUUACGCUAUCGA
rnacentral:pre_miRNA from 9 species